GUCUUCACGUCGCAUCCGCAGCAUGCGCUGCUGAUCUGCCGAGUUUGACGGCGGCAGCAGCCCGAGUGAUGAGAUCCACGUCUUGGGCGCGCGCAGAUCCAGCAUGGGCUCAUCCCCCGAUGUUGGCCUGGUCGGAGGAGAGAAACUGUGCGGUGGCCGGUCUAGGACAAUGGCUCGCAGGAGGCCGUAGUGUACCCUAGCCAUCGCUGGAUUCCGGUGUGGCUCCCGCCCCGUCUGUUGGCUUCCUCGACACCAUGGCCUCAUGAUGCUGCUUCGACCAUAGGUCAGGUUCAUUUUCCUAAGCUGGUAGUUGUAACAGCCGUUCGUGGGCAGUGUGGGAAGCCUAAGGCUGGUGCGUGGCCUCCCUCUUCAAUCGAUUACUUAAGCUUGGCUACUGCCUUCUCCAAAUCUUAGGGUGUUGUGUGUGCGUGCUGACAUGGUGGCGGCAGUGGCUAUCGAGGGCUAGGGUGUGUAUACGAGUGAGAUGUGUGUGCGUGCAGUAGAUGCCGAGUUGUGUUUGCGGGUUUCCUCUCUGGAUCUUUAACAUUGAAUUUUCUAUGUAUCUUUACACUGCAGGGUACCCAGUAAAGACAGAAGGCACAUGUUCGUCAACCGGCUGCACUGUGCUAUGUGGGCUUCUAUCAAGAUCAAAUUUUGUUUAAUUUUCUACCAAGAUCUAAUUCAGUUUAGAUUUUUCUGACAGUUUUAUGUAUCUCUCUUCUCUAAAUCAAUAUAAUUAAGUGGUCUAUAUGCAUUCAGUUUAGUUUUCUAUCAAAAUAUAAUUCAGUAUGAAUCAAUGUAAUCAAGUGGUGAAUAAUUUCAUCAAAUAGGAGACAUGAUUUCUGUUACUGUAUUAAUAUGGUGACAUGUUCUGUUUAGAGUUUUCUCCGUACACUUCUGUCCAUAUUGUCAACUGCAGCUUGGUGAAUAUAUAUAACCAGAAUUAAGUUUAAUCUGAAUCUAAGAAGAAAAAUACAUUGGUACAGUGUGGCAGUACUGCAGUUAUAUUACAGAGGUUUAAACCUGUUCGUUUGUGUACUAAGCAAAUGUAGUACUACUACCAUUGGUUGUGCGCCUACUAGUACUAGAACCAAUGCCAUGUUAGUUCACUCUCCCUCAACCUGGAGGUACACACCAAGCUAGAACUUGCCAACACAGUGACACACAUUUCUUUUUCAACUCAUGUGCUCCCUGCCUCCAAGCCAGGUUGCCCUCCACGAUAGUUUUGCCGAGAAGUAGGGGUUGAUGUCUACUGUCUGAUCCUAAAUCUUUUCCCUGAUGUUUUCCCUUUUUUACAAUCAAUUAACACUGUAAUCUCCCUAACUAUGAUCUCUGCUUUUUUGGGAUGUAGGUCUAGGUGGUGUUGUAGCAGUCGUACUGCUGCAUGGCGCACAAUAGAGCUCGAGAGGGUGGACAUGAUAACUAUUGGUGGAGCUGCUCCGUGAUCAACUAGGGGUUGGUUCUCUACUGCCACUCCUAUGAUUUGUCCAGUAUUUCCAUUCCCUACCUUAAUUGCUACUGAACUACACCUAUUUAGUUAAUGUAGUUCUGAGUUAGGCAUUUUUCACCAUGGUGUGAUUUUCUACUAAUUUACUAAUUUGUUUGUGCCCCUUGGAUCUUGUGAUGAACUUCUCAUGCACUUGAAUUAAAAGUAACCACAACAUGCAUGUUGUUAAGAGCAAUAACUGAUACAUCCUAUCUAGUAUCUCUUCAGAGAACCAUUUGCCACUUAGUUUUAUAGAUUUAUUAGUGGCCACGGCUCAUAGUUAUUUUGCAUGCCAUUUGAUGUUUACUUGUCAAGCAAUUGUGUUUUACUACUAUAGGUGCCUUAGAUAAACAUUUAGUUUCAUGUGUAUGCUUGUUGACACAUGAAAAAUUUGAAGCUUACGCUCGCGAGGUCGAUGAGUAACCGAUGAGUAGCGGCUCCGCUUCAUUGAUAUUAUUUGUUAGUGAUGCCAUUUUCUCGACGGGUUUAUAUGGCCUUAACUGUUGUUGAGUACUUGUGUUCUCCGAUGUAUGUUCUAUUACAUUGUCACUUAUAUGUCAACUUGAUUAGACUUUCAUUUGACCCACUUUUAUUUGAUUUAAUUUUAGGCAACCUCAUGUUUAGUUUUGUUUUAAAGUAUAUUUUGUUAUUCUGAUAUGCAGGCUUGUUAAAAUUUAAGAAUUUUGGACAACACAUAAUUUAUUUUUGAAGUUUGUUCUUAUUCUUUUAUUUCUACUAUCUACUAUCUAAUGUUGUAAAUAUGUUAGGUAUGAUUGGGUAGCAGGCUUCUUGGUGCUGGCCAACACAAUCUGCCAUGACAUGAUACUUACCAUCAGGAGGGGCGACGACAAGAACCUGAAUAGCAGCCUCAAUAGUAUCAUAUUUUCUGUUGUUGUAAUUGGAUUGUACUGGUUCCUAGCGUUGUUGUGUGAUAUAUUUUGUCAAUAUAUUCUGUAAAUUACCAUUUCAUGGAGGAUUUUGUAAACUGAUGUGGUGUAGAUACCAAUAGAUGGUUGCAUAUUGAAUAUCCGUGUAAUGUAUGAUCACACUUUGGAAAUGCUUCGUCUUGGCCUAGAGUUGGUAUUAUGAUUU
rnacentral:lncRNA from 1 species